rnacentral:lncRNA from 1 species
AGAGUUUCGUCGUCCUCUCACGUGCCGCGCAUGUGGAUUGAAAACAUUGUGUUCUUCGCGCACUGCGCGCCUCUUCUCCUCUGACGGUAUCCCAUGUGCCUCCUGCUGCGUUGUCUGCCGCGCUGCCUAUCUGGUAAACUUGUUUCUCUGUCCGGGACUAUCACAUGGCUCUUCUUACCGCUACCGUCUCUCUCUCUCUCCUUCUUUUGGACAAUGCUGCUUCUAAGCCUGCUUCACUGCCCUGCUCAGAUAUCCGGUUCUCUUCAUUCGUUGCUUAAACUGUGGCUUUGGGGUUUGCUCUUCUCUUCUCUUCUUCC